UUGCUUUGUUUUAGCUUUGCCCAAUUUCUGUUUUACCUUAUUACUGCGCGUUUCCUCCUUCUACGUUUGUUUCGACCAUGAUAGCGGAUGCAAUAGGAAAUUGACGGUUGGUUUUUAGUGACCAUGAUAGCGGAUGCAAUGGGUUAUACGACCUAUGAACAUAUGAUUUUGUGUCAACACCAGUAUCAUUAGAAACCUAGGUCCGAAUGUGUUUGAACUCUUCUGAAAUUG
rnacentral:lncRNA from 1 species